rnacentral:lncRNA from 1 species
CCACUAUAACACUCAAAAGAAAUAACCCUUUUUUGAAAUUCCACCUCACUAUAAUAUCGCUCACUCUCUAUUUUCCUCACAGACUAUUUUCUUAUACUCUGUCUGUGAAACCUUUAUCUUUUUCUCUCUUUCUGUUGGUGUAUGGAAAUGAGAGUUGAAGCUCUCCUUUUAUAGCCAAAGCUUCAUUCGCUAAAGUCUACAAUAUUUGACAAUUUACAUACACUUUUCACAAUUCAACAAAAUUGGCUACCAACCCAAAGAAAUUCAACAAGGUUGGCUACCAAACCAAACUAAUUCAACAAAGUUAGCUACCUUCACAAUUCAACAAAAUUGGCUACCAACCCAAAGAAAUUCAACAAGGUUGGCUACCAAACCAAACCAAGUCAACAAGAUUGGUUAUAAAACCAAAGAAAACUUUUUAGGUACAUGCCUAAUACUUCUUCAAUGAGAUGGACAUCAUCAAAAUUCAUUCGCCUUAACCACAAAUUUUGGUUCAAACUCAGAAAAUGAUAUUCUUUCAAUAAAGAGCAGUUUACCUAGCUAACACCAAUAUAAAUUAGUUGGGUUAGUUUUGAAUAAAAUAAAAUAAAACCCUACCUA